AACCCUUGGCUCCUAUACGGACUAUACAGGCAUAACAAUAAAAAAAAAAAAAUUGAAAAUCUCAAACUUGGCUCAUAAACUUUUUGGAAAAUAUGAUACAAAUAUAUUGCUUUCUAUAUAUACACAUGAAUACAAAUAUUUUGUUGGUAUAAUUGUAGCAAACCUCAUUUACAUUUAGAAAUUAUGAAUUCAUCUACUACGAAAUUCUACACCGUCUUCAUGUUCUUGUGUUUUGUCAUCAUUCUCCUUAUUUCUUCAUGUGAGCCACUGGGAAUAUUUGAAGAUGGUGGUUGUAGAGAGAUAAGUAAAACAUGGGAAAAAAAGUAUUGUCAUUAUAAUAACUUUGAUAACUCGGAAUGUAAUUCAACAUGUGUUAACUUGGAGCAUGCAAUGUUUGGUGGUUGUCAAUAUAGUCCUCAUUCUUGGUCAUUUCCUAGGCUUUGUUACUGCAACUACAAGUGUAACGAAUAUAUACCGCGGUGGUUUUAAACUAAUAGAAGCUGAAUGUUGAUCAAACAUCUAAUUAUUGAUCAAGUUUCAUGAAAAAAAAAAAAAACUUGAGUAAAUAAGUUAUGCAACUUAUGCAUUUGGUGAUGUUAAUUACUCUUCUGUCCAUUUUUUGUUAACCCCUAUUUUUUUUAAUUACGUCUUUUGUUUUGUUUCUUCGCAUAAUAAUCUCUCUUCUAUAUAUUACCUCUUCUCUUAGCA